UGAGUACGAGAUGCUACGGCAUCGAAGCAGUCUAUGUCAUACUUCCAAGAAAAGCUUGCACUGUCAUAAACAAAGAAUGCCUGUACCAUAACCGACACAGGUGGGUAGGUAGAGUAUACUAAGGGGCGCGAGAUAACUCUCUCUAAGGAACUCGGCAAAAUGACUCCGUAACUUCGGGAGAAGGAGUGCCUUAUUUAUAAGGUUGCAAUAACAAGAUCCAAGCAACAGUUUACCAAAAACACAGGUCUCCGCGAAGUCGUAAGACGAUGUAUGGGGGCUGACGCCUGCCCAGUGCCAGAAGGUUAAAGAAGUUGGUUAGCACUUGCGAAGCUGAUAACUGAAGCCCUGGUGAACGGCGGCCGUAACGAUAACGGUCCUAAGGUAGCGAAAUUCCUUGUCGGGUAAGUUCCGACCCGCACGAAAGGCGUAAUGAUUUGGAUACUGUCUCGGAGAGGGACUCGGUGAAAUAGACUUGUCUGUGAAGAUGCGGACUACCUGCACCUGGACAGAAAGACCCUAUGAAGCUUUACUGUAACUUGAAAUUGAAAUUGGACUUUACUUGCGCAGUAUAGGUGGGAGGCAUUGAGAAUAACCUUGCGGGGUUAUUGAGCCAUCAGUGAGAUACCACUCUUGUAAUGUUAGAUUUCUAACUUUGUAUCAUUAUCUGGUCAAAGAACAGUUUCAGGCGGGCAGUUUGACUGGGGCGGUCGCCUCCCAAACGGUAACGGAGGCGCACAAAGGUUUCCUCUGAACGGGUAGAAAUCGUAUCUAGAGUGUAAAGGCAUAAGGAAGCUUGACUGUGAGACCUACAAGUCGAGCAGGGACGAAAGUCGGUCUUAGUGAUCUGACGGUGCUGAGUGGAAAGGCCGUCACUCAACGGAUAAAAGUUACUCUAAGGAUAACAGGCUGAUCUCCCCCAAGAGUUCACAUCGACGGGGAGGUUUGGCACCUCGAUGUCGGCUCAUCGCAUCCUGGGGCGGUAGUACGUCCCAAGGGUUGGGCUGUUCGCCCAUGAAAGCGGUACGCGAGCUGGGUUCAGAACGUCGUGAGACAGUUCGGUCCAUAUCCGGUGUAGGCGUUAGAAUAUUGAGAGGAGCCUUCUCUAGUACGAGAGGACCGAGAAGGACAUACCUCUGGUGUACCAGUUAUCGUGCCAACGGUAAACGCUGGGUAGCUAUGUAUGGAGUGGAUAACCGCUGAAAGCAUCUAAGUGGGAAGCCCACCUCAAGAUAAG
rnacentral:rRNA from 1 species